rnacentral:rRNA from 1 species
UACGGAGGGUGCAAGCGUUAUCCGGAUUUAUUGGGUUUAAAGGGUCCGCAGGCGGACCGAUAAGUCAGUGGUGAAAUCUCAUAGCUUAACUAUGAAACUGCCGUUGAUACUGUCGGUCUUGAGUAAAUUAGAGGUAGCUGGAAUAAGUAGUGUAGCGGUGAAAUGCAUAGAUAUUACAUGGAAUACCAAUUGCGAAGGCAGGUUACUAACAAUAUAUUGACGCUGAUGGACGAAAGCGUGGGUAGCGAACAGG